AAACCCUAAUCCUCAAUCAGGGACUUCUGAAUCCCGAAUCCUUCUCCUCCAUUCUCCCCCUUUUACAAAAUGGCGACACAAGUUGAACCAAAGAUCGCACCUUCGAUGCUAUCAUCAGACUUCGCUAAUCUUGCAUCCGAGGCGGAGAUGAGACAGUAAAGGAGGCCGGCCACCCUGUUUUGCUCACCACACACAGCGCCACGGCGUUGCUACGGCGGAGCCGGCCGUACUUUGGCGCGUGGACCAUCACAAACCGAUGACCGAAGGGUGAGGAGUCUUCAAACUCUAGGUAUGUAUCUAUUCAAUUUCAAGAUGUUUUCUGUUUGCUUUGAAUGAAGGCUUCUUUGUGUUCUAGAGUUUCUUUACCUUAUUAUUAUUAUUGAUUCUGCUGAAUUUGGGGAAAUUAGAUCCAGUUGCAUAUGUUUGAUUUCUGUUGACAAGGGUUUCGUGGUUAGCUUUUGUGUCAUUGUUGCACGUGAGUUUCAAACCAGCUAUGGUGAAAGAUUAAGAGAUCAGUUUCAGAUAGCGAGUUUAGGCUAUUGCAUCCAGAGCAGGGGAUGAUCUAAAUCUGGCUUCAAAAAAAGCCCAAGAAGCAGGAUAAUUAUACUUUCCGCUCUGGUGACAUGAAGUGUUAAGAUGAGUAAUAGUGAUUACUUUUUGGCAAUACUUGAAACAACAGUGUCUUCAGCAUCCAUGUGUAAUGAUGCUUUGGGGAGUGGUUUACUCAGAAGUAGCAAAAUUUGUUAAGUUUGUGGACUACCAAAGUUGUAUACUUUAUCCUUCUAUUCGUUAACGUGAUGAAGAAAGAAGACGUCACCUGAGGGCUAAAGUUCGGCGAUGCUCCAAAGAAAGACGAUGUAAUGAUUUGCGUGGGAAACAAAGUUUUGCCCAUUAAUGAAUCGACCACGACAUCUUCAUCCUCAAAAAACCCGAAUUCGAUUCACGUUUUUUAAACCAAGUUUGUAUGACAUUGAUUUUUGAGUUAUCUGUUGUCUAAUGGAUAUCUUUUGUCUUUUCUUUUGGUGUAUUAGGCUUGAAGCUCUAAACGAAAAGAGGUCUUGGGUGGUGUAGCUGGUUAACUUAGCUGAUAAAGAAAGAGAAAGCCUAGAGGUUACAACUUAUAACAAGCCUGUUUGAUUGUAUAGAUUGGAGAAAAGAGUUUAAUGAUACAGAUUUAGCAAGCCAAUGUACCCAUAGGUACAAAAUAUACGUUGAAGGAAACACAUGGUGUGAAUGUGUAUAGCUGACGCUUGACAGUUUGUUUUCGGUAAUUUACGAAUUUGGUAGUAUUUAAAAAGCAAACAUCUGCGUUUCGCUUUUAUUGUUUUCAUUAUAUUGAGCCGCCAAUAAUGGAUGUUAAACCGUCAUUUAUGGAAUAGUUUAAAUAUUUAAUGACCUAUUUAUUU
rnacentral:lncRNA from 1 species